UUGAACUGGUGUGCCAUUUACCCCUGACAAGCAUUAUGGUUUCUUGAUGAAUUUGAUUUGUUAAUGCUAUCAAAGAUCCAUGAAGAUAAUGGAACCUAAAACAGGUCAACUUCCUGUUAACCUUGCUUUUCCACUCCCUCUGGUGGCUAGAAGGGAGGUUAAAGCAUUUAAGAACCCAUAUUAAAAGUAGGUUUUGAAAAAUUGUAAGCCAGCUUUAAGUAAAUGUUUUCCUUUUUAAGAAUUGCUGUGGUCAUGGUGUCUCUUCAAAGCAGAACUCUAAGACAUACAGUCACUCUAAGACAGGCACAUACACACAUACACUCAAACACACACACACACACACACACACACACACACACACACACACAUAUAUAAAAUGUAUAUGCAGGACUGGGAAUUAUACCCAUUGUUUCAUUUAUACCCCACAUUGAGCUGCUUCAUUAGCCCUAAAUAUGCCAUAUUGUCAUUAGUAUUGUUUGAAUUUUUCCCCAAAUCAUUUUUAUUUUGGGAUAGAUCUUACAGAGUAAGUUGUUACUGUCUUUAUUGAUCAUGAAAAGAUGACUGCUGUUUUUUCAGUUCUAAAAUAAUUGUUAAUUUUUUAGUAGGUGAUGUACUUCCAAGGUCCAGCCUUAGCUUGGAGAGGGGUUUUGAGUAAAGUGUAUCUGGGAGCUGGCAGAACAGGUGAAUGAAGUCAAAUCAUGGGUCGAAGAUGAUGGCCUAUAUUCUGCUCAUGGCAGUUUUCUGAAGCUGCUUUCCAGACUGUUCUAUGUUCUGCUUUCUCUGGAGAUCUCCAGAAUGCUGUCUGCUUGAGACAGUUUUUUUUUUUUGUUUGUUUGUUUGUUUGUUUGUUUUUUGUUUUUUUGUUUUUGCAAUCCUAAGAACUCUCUAGAUAGCUCAUUACUUGCAGUCCAGUCUUUUAUUUACAUACCAAUUCAGUCAUUACCUCAGGUUCCUUUUUGAUUGUCCCUUGACAACCCCUCAUUCUUAGAAAGAGGCUGUAAGAAUAAUCACAGAUAAUAAGAUUGCUGGGUGGCACCCUGCCCUGAAAUUACCAUUCCUAUUUUUCCUGGGCCUGGACCUAAACUCCCUUUGUCUCAGGAUAACUUUGAACUCAGCAAUCUGUCCCCAUUGUAAGCAUAAACCAAAACCUCUGCUGGGUGGGAUCUUGCCCUAUGAUCUUCACUUUAUUUAUACAUCUCUUUAUUUUCUUCCUUAUUCUCCUGCUGACAAGCUGGCUCAUAGUGCAGUUGCUUCUAUUCUGUUAGAUCUGUAAAGCUCCGUAUACAACUCAUAUUUCAUCCUAGUAUUUUGCAUAGCUGAGAAAUUACAUUUUUGAACUCAUGCUUUCAGCAUUAUUUCCCACAGCCUCAAGGGCUGUCCUGAAGGUUUUAUAGCAUUUUACCAUUUUGCUGAGACAUUAGACACACCCUCCUGGACUCAUGCUGUCUCUGUUUAUGUUGGAGUCAUUAACCUUGGCUGAGAGGACAUUCCUUGAAUGGGGAACAAGAAAAUAUGUAUAUUAUUAUACAAACAAGCCUUACAGUCACAGCAGCCCUCAACACUCAUGGAGGCCCAUAUCCUGCUGACUCUCUCCCAGGGUCAGGAACCAAGUCAUUCCAUCCAUUACAUGGCUGAGCAGGACUCAGUGAUGUAUUUCUAAUUUGAAAGUGACCCCCACCAAAUGGUUUCUCCCUGUAGUGCUGGCUGUCCUAGGCUGGCCUUGAACUCACAGAGAUGGGCUUGCCUCUGCCUCAUAAGUGCUGGGAUUAAAGGAUUGCAUCCCCAUAACCUGUGAAAUUGAUUCUUUAUUCAUGUUUUUCUCCCUAGGGAUAGUUUUUAUCUGUAGUCUUGGCAGGGUUUGUACUUGAUAUCCUCCCUCAAAUGCUCAGAUUGAAUUUAUGUGUCACCAUGCCUGGCUUUUAGUCUGUUUUAAACAUAUGUGUAGUUGUGAUUUUUCUUUAUAUUGGUGAAAUGAAUGAUAGAAGUGAUUCUAGAAUCUAUAGCUGUCUUAGUUAGGGUUCUAUUGCUGUGAAGAGACACCAUUAUCAUGGUUACUCUAAUUAAAGAAAACAUUUAAUUGAGGCUGGCUUACAGUUUCAGAGGUUUAGUCCGUUAGCAUCAUAGUCCGUUAGCAUCAUAGCAGGAAACAUGUCGACAUGUAGGCAGACAUAAUACUAGAGAAGGAGCUGAAAGUUCUAUCUUGAUCUGCAGGGAACAGAAGGAGACCGUGCCAAAUAAUGAGUGUGGCUUGCACAUAUCCCAUCAAUCCCAUCCCCACAGUGGCACACUUUAUCCAAUAAGGACAGGCCUAUUCUAACAAGGCCAUACCUCUUAAUGGUACCUAUAGUCCUAUGGGGGGGCAUUGUCCCUCAAACCACCACAUUCUAUUCUCUGGUCCCCAUAGGCUUAUAGUCACAUCAUAAUACAAAAUGUAUUUAGUCCAACAUUAAAAGUCCCCAUAGUUUAUAAUAGUGUUAAACUUGUUUAAAAGUCUAAAGAUCAGUCUCUUUUGAGAUUCAUGCAGUCCCUUAACUACAUCUCUGUAAGAUCAGAUUCAAAAGGUAGAUCACAUACUUCUAACAUACAAUACCAUUCCAAAAUACAGGGGAGGAAGGCAACAUAGGGAGGAAAUACUGAACCAAAGCAAGACCAAAAUCCAUCUAGGCAAGCUUCAAACUCUUCAACUCCACGUCUGAUGUCAAAAUGCUCUGCAGAUCUCCAACUCCUUUCAGCUUUCUUGAGUGCAAUGCACUCUCUUGGGCUGUUUUCAUUCCCUGUUAGCAGCUCUCCUUGGUAGAUAUCCCAUGGCUUUUGCAUCUCAAAAAUCUUGGGGGUUCUAAGGCAAUCUAAACUUCAGCUUUAGUUUCAUUCAGUGGCCUGUAGGCCUCCUCCAUUCAGGGGCACCUUUGGCACACAGAUGUGCUCAGUGACUUCCCUUAGUUGUGGAGGAGAUCCUUGACUCUAAACCAGCAGAACCAAAUUGCUGAAGCUGCCAAGUUCUUCUGCUUGUUGGGGCCGGAACAUGACCUCUUCCUUCAAUUACAUUUUUUGCCAACUUUCUGUUUUCAGUGGUUUCCUACACGGUCUAAGCUUUGCUUUCCUGAUCUGUAAAUCAGGCUGUAUAUAAAGCUAGAUCUGCCUGCCUCUGUCUCUGGAAUGCUGAGAUUAUAGGCAUGUACCACUACACUUGGCUCUAACCUUUUCUUUAAUUUCUUUUCAGAAGUUGGAAGCUUAAGUGGGUGGAGUCUUGCCCUGAAGGCACCAUCCCCCUUAUUCCAUUUAAUAUUAGCCAUUUCUUUAAUCUGUUUAUUUUCUUGAACCUAGGAUUUAGUUCUAUUCCAUUUCCUGGUGCUCCCUUUCUUUACGAAUUUUCUAUUUUCUAUUUUUCUUUGUUUAGUUUGAUCCUUUUCAUUAUAGAUCUGCCUAAGAGUGAACACUAAUAACUACACAAUAGAGUCAGUCUAGGCUAUUUUGAGAUUUCCUCUGCCAACAGAAUUAAUUCAAAACUCUUUAUUUUAGCCUCAGGCAGAUUUUUUGAAAAAAGGCAAACCCCAACCACAUUCUUUGCC
rnacentral:lncRNA from 1 species